rnacentral:rRNA from 1 species
GUCCUACGGGACGCAGCAGUGGGGGAUAUUGCACAAUGGGGGAAACCCUGAUGCAGCGACGCCGCGUGUGGGAAGACGGUCCUCUGGAUUGUAAACCACUGUCCCCAGGGACGAGGAUGACGGUACCUGGGGAGGAAGCUCCGGCUAACUACGUGCCAGCAGCCGCGGUAAUACGUAGGGAGCGAGCGUUGUCCGGCAUAACUGGGUGGAAAGGGAGCGUAGGCGGGGAUGCAAGUUGGGUGUCAAAACUACCGGCUCAACGGGGAGUCGCACUAAAAACUG